ensembl:snRNA U6 U6 spliceosomal RNA
AGCUCAUAGCAGCAGCAAUAUAGUAAAACUGGAACAAUACAGAGAAGGUUAACAUGGCCCCUGCCGGAGGAUAACAUGCAAAUUCACAAAGUGUUCGAUAUUUUU